rnacentral:rRNA from 1 species
GAUGAAUUGGUGACGAGGGCGCGGGAAAAAUGACGGGGGCUAGCGUGUGUCGUAAUGACUGGGCGUAGAGCGCACGUAGGCGGAUCUUUAAUGUAGGUGUGAAAGCCGGGAGCGCGACUCCAGAACUGGCUUUGAUACUGGGGAUAUCGAGGUCGGGAGAGGUGAGUGGAACUGCGAGUGUAGAGGUGAAAUUCGUAGAUAUUCGCAAGAACACCAGUGGCGAAGGCGGCUCACUGGCCCGGUACUGACGCUGAGGUGCGAAAGCGUGGGGAGCAAACAGGAUUAGAUACCCCAGUAGUC